CCUACGGGAGGCAGCAGUGGGGAAUCUUGCACAAUGGAGGAAACUCUGAUGCAGCGAUGCCGCGUGAGUGAAGAAGGCCUUUGGGUUGUAAAGCUCUUUUGUAGGGGAAGAUAAUGACUGUACCCUAAGAAUAAGGUCCGGCUAACUUCGUGCCAGCAGCCGCGGUAAUACGAAGGGACCUAGCGUAGUUCGGAAUUACUGGGCGUAAAGCGCGCGUAGGCCGUUGAGUUAGUUAAUUGUGAAAUCCCAAAGCUUAGCUUUGGAACUGCAAUUAAGACUGCUCGACUAGAGUUUGAUAGAGGAAAGCGGAAUACAUAGUGUAGAGGUGAAAUUCGUAGAUAUUAUGUAGAACACCAGUCGCGAAGGCGGCUUUCUGGAUCAACACUGACGCUGAGGCGCGAAAGUAUGGGUAGCAAAGAGGAUUAGAUACCCUCGUAGUCCAUACCAUAAACGAUGAUUGCUAGAUGUUGGAAAUUUAUUUUCAGUAUCGCAGCUAACGCAUUAAGCAAUCCGCCUGGGGAUACGACCGCAAGGUUAAAACUCAAAGAUAGUACGACGNGAGAGUAGCGACGAGACACAGGAGGUAG
rnacentral:rRNA from 1 species